CCUGCCAGUAGUCAUAUGCUUGUCUCAAAGAUUAAGCCAUGCACGUCUAAGGAUAAAUAUUAUUUAACCAUAAACCUGCGAAAGGCUCAUUAAAUCAGUAAUAAUCUAUUCUAUUAUUUAAUCCUAUUUGGAUAACUGUAGUAAUUCUAGAGCUAAUACAUGCAAAAAACCUGGACUUUACAGAACAGGUGUACUUAUUAGACUUUAAAACCGAUUACAAUUUAUUGUAAAUUUAAAAUGAAUUAAAAUAAGUUUAUGAAUCGCAGAUCAUUUUGUGAUGAUAAGAAUGAAUUUCUGCCCUAUCAACUUUCGAUGGUAAUGUAGUGGAUUACCAUGGUGAUGACGGGUAACGGGGAAUUAGGGUUUGAUUCCGGAGAAAAGGCCUGAGAGACGGCCAUUACUUCUAAGGAAGGCAGCAGGC
rnacentral:rRNA from 1 species